rnacentral:rRNA from 1 species
UACAGAGGUCUCAAGCGUUGUUCGGAUUCAUUGGGCGUAAAGGGUGCGUAGGUGGCGGGGUAAGUCUGGUGUGAAAUCCUGGGGCUCAACCCCGGAACUGCACUGGAUACUGCUUUGCUAGAGUACUGGAGAGGGAACUGGAAUUUACGGUGUAGCAGUGAAAUGCGUAGAUAUCGUAAGGAAGACCAGUGGCGAAGGCGGCCAUCUGGACCAGCACUGACACUGAGGCACGAAAGCGUGGGGAGCAAACAGG